GCUCUCGGGCAUCGGUUUCUCCCAGCAAAGCUUGGAGGGUUUAGCUGCGCGGAGAGCUCAGCGAGCUCUUCUGUGUCUGUUUGGGGCGUGUGGGCUCCGGGAGCGUGAGGACCGGGAAGCUAGGAGGCUCCUUCCCUUCUGGCGGCUCCCUCACUGAGACCGGGCGGUUUGGUUGCGGGGGAAGUGGAGACGAGCCACCCUUGACCUUUGACUGCAAGAACUCACCUUGAGCAGGAUAGAGCACACACUGCUGCUGCCUGGGCAGGAAUGUGGAUAUGAUGUCUGGAGCUCUAGCAACCAUAUCAGACCACAAGGAUGAAUGUACACCCCAGGAAUGGAAGAGAGGAAAGCCAGAAAAAGACUCGGUCCCUGAUGGCUGAAGAGCUACCAUACCUGCCCCUAGAUCUUCUAUUUCUGAUCAUCUUCUAUGCAAGGGUGAGUGAACUCGUAUUGUGUUAACGUCACUGUGAUACUGGGUCUUGUUUCUUGCCAGUUGAAUGUGAUCCUAAGUGGUACAAUGGGUCAACUGAGAGGAAGAGAAUGAACUUGGGUUGGGAUUUGAAAGAUGGGUAGGACUGAGACAGGAAUGGGGGAAGAAGUUCCUUAUAGGUGCUGGGAACAGCAAGAGUGAGAAGUGUCCUUGAGGUGGCAUGUGGAGUAUAACAAGGAAGAUGUAGGAGCUAAGCAGGGUUAGAGCAGUGGUUUGUAAAGAGCUUUGGCUGCCAGGCAGUGAAGAUACAAUUUCAACUGUUAAGCACUGGGGAGCCAUAGAAGGUGUUUGAGCGGAUAAGUGAUGUGUUUGGUACUGGAUUUUGCCUUGAUGGAGAUCUGUAGGCGGAACUGAAGAGGAGGAAGCCUGGGCCAGAAAUGGGGCCCUGGGGGGUGGGAAUUGCUUGGAAAGGAGGUUUGGAGACCAGCUUUGGCAAU
rnacentral:lncRNA from 1 species